UCCAGACAAAACUCGCCGGAUUCUCCGCUUAUUCUAAUUUCUCUACCCAAUUCAAAAUCUGAAACCCGACCAUAAUAUGAAAUGAAACCAUUAUAAAUUCAGUCAAUUUUCACUUCACUCUCCACUUCAUAGAAAUUUUGAAUUCGAAAUUCGAUUUAGGUUUUAGGGAUUCGUUUCAGGAAAAAAAAGGCAACCAUGAAGGCUUCGUUAAAGUUCCGUGAAGAUCAGAAGCCAGUCUUUCGAGCCAAGGUUCCUUUGAGCAUCUUAGGCUUGCCUUUUCAAUCAGGGAUUGUCGCCGGCGAGUCCAAGGAGCUCACUCUCAAUCUCGCUACCUUCUUCGAAUCUGGACCCUCCAUCAAGGUCGCUUACCGUCCCAAUGAUGGCUGGAACCCUUUUUCUCUUAUCUUCAAGACUGGAAUGGGACCCUUUGGUUCGCCCGUGGCCAGCUCCAUGCUCAUGAGUGCGGAGUUCAAUUUGCUUGGGAGGGGGAAUCCUAGUUUUAUGCUUCAUUUCAAGCCCAGGUUUGGGGAUUUUUCUAUUAAGAAAUCGCAGUCGUCUUCGGUCUUUGAGAAGGGCGGGAAUAUGUUUGGGUCUUUGCCCAAUUGCAAUGAUGAUGGAUCGAUUGAGGUGGUGGAGUCUCCGGUGAUAAACGGAGGCGGCGUAGGGGUGGCGAACGGAAUUUCGGGAAAGAAAAUUUCGGUUUUGCCGCCGCCUACUGCCAGGGCGAUCGCAAGCGCAUUCUCUGGCGUGGAAGUGACAGCAAGUACAAAGCUUCCUGUGAGGAGCAGCGCGGUGGUCAAUUUCAGAUGGGGAGUUAGGGUUCCUGCGGAAUUUAAGAAUGGUACUGUUGGUGAUUCAACAGCUGGGAUCAAUCUUAGAAAGAUUCCGUUUUUGGUGAUGAAUAAGAUAGGGAUUGAGCAUAUUGAUGGUGAUGAUUCGAAAUCAAAAGGGACGGCAUCUGCCCC
rnacentral:misc_RNA from 1 species